UCCCUUUACUUUUAAAAUCUGUGUCUCCAAAUUCCUCAAACCACAAACAUGAGUGGAAGGAUGGGGGGACGAAAUUUUCUGAUGACACAGAGACACCCAUGAUGAUGAACCCAUCAGAAGGCAACUCAAGAGCUAUCAAACCAGACUCUGACAUGUGACAUUUGGGCCCAUGGAAAAUCAGGUGAAUUUGACAGAGCACAUGAACAAACAUACAAAACUUCCUGCCUGUUGUCAGGACAGAAAUCGCCUGGUGUCAGAUGCCAUGUCUCUCACAUUGUUCCCAGAGUGAAUCUCAAGUUGCAUACAUUAUGCCAAUAUAGAUAAAACUGGUUGUUCUUAAAUAUUUAGUUUCAAUUCUUCCAAAUCUACAGAUUAUACUUGUGUGCAUUCCUCCUCCUCAAUAACUGAAACCAAGUUUACUGUUUAGUUUUACUUUAGUGGUUCAGAUAAUUUUUACUAUUUAGCUUUGCAGUUACCAUGAAUUUUGCCAACUUAGUUGUUUAAAUAUCAAUGACAAAAGCAGGGGUAAUAUAAUCAUUAUACUCAAUAAUUUCUAAUAGGGAGCCACCUUGCAGAUUGUCACUGGUCUGUGAGCUGAUAGUAUAAAUCGUUCAGUUUGUUAAAAAUGUAAGAGUCGUUCUUUACCUUCAUUACACAUUUCUGCAUUGGUUCAUUAUGGAACAAUGAGAAAAAAGCCAAGGGGAUUUUUGCCCCUAAGCUUGUGCUUGAGACAUUUGAACCUUAUCAACCUUUACUCCUUUAUAAAUGUUAAUAAAUGUUCCCAAGGAGA